rnacentral:lncRNA from 1 species
CAAAGAACCAGAUAGACCAGACUCCGGCCCGCCUCCUGUCUCUGACCGGCCCGCCCGCUGAUCAAAAGCCUCUCUUGUGUGGGUGCUAACGGAUGCAAAGGAUUGCCUUAAAAGAAUCAUGCGGCGAAUCUUGACCAACAGGGUUUUAUAACUGUUAAGGCCAAAGAGGAAAAAAGUGUGCUUUCAAGGGGCUUUCAAAGGUGCUGACCAUGAUAUGCAAUGCCGUACAGAAGAACAAUGGGUGGAUGGAGGCUUCAGAUAACAUCGAAAAAAGCAGCAGCAGAAAGAGUCAGGGUAGAAAGCAGAGAGAACAAAACUAAAUGCUAGCAUAUUUCAAGAUGACAACCAUGUUUCUGUGCCCUGUGAAUUAUCUGGAAUUUACUGUACUAUUAUGGCAGAAUUGUGUAGCUACGUUUCCUGGUUGGAAUUUGGCGUGCUGAACAGCUGUAUAUGUUUUAUUUAUUUCUGGAAAAUCAUCUUGGAUUAUCCAGCUUUUUGCUGCACUAUAUCAACCUCUGUAUACCAAACUGUGUGCCAAUUCCCCCUCCCUCCCGCCACCCCCGCAACCAGUUCAUCUAUUUUCUGAUGGAAAAAAGAGACUUACAAGAAACUGAAAUUAAAAACUGUGACAUCGUUAUUAUCCUCAUCUUCAAUUAAGGGCAGACACCUGAGGUAAAAAAAAUUUUUAUGUUUUAUGGGAUAGCGCAGAUUUUUGUAGUCACCUUAAUUAAAAAAACAUUUGGUCUACCCAUCUGUACUACACUAGUUGCCCCUCCGAAUUCGCAAAAAACGCAUUCUUCUUUGAAAAGGUCUUUAGAUACUUAUCUCUUUCUUGAACCAGAGCCUUGAUCUUCUACUAUUGUGCAUACCUCUAUUCCUCUCUCUCUUUUGAGUGAGAGAGAGAGAGACAUGAACUGACUUUUGUAUUAUACCAAAGAAUGGCUUUUAGAUCUUGCAAUUAUUAUUACUUAGAUUUCUAGAAAACUUGGAACAUUAACGAUGUAUGUUAUCAGCACAUUAAAGAGACUUUAAGUUAUCUAAAUAUGCCAGAAAGGCAUCAAAAUUAACUCUGAUUAUUUAUUACUAGAAUAGUAAUACAUGUACCUCAGACAACAGAGAAGACCAAAGAUUCAUAAAUAAUACCUCUUUCUGACCGUACAUGAGAAAAACUAACGCAUUGAUGACUAUCACUUAGGUCCUUACAUAUGCAUGAAAGGUCUUAUGAGGUCCUUACCUGGCACCAUCCCUGAUCCCUGGGAACCCUGGAAAAACUUCCGAAGAGCGUUCCUACGUGUAGCCUAUGACCCUGUCAAGUUUGACGUGAAUUCUGAUUGGGUAGAUGCAAAGAAUGUUUAUGCAUGCAUCCAUAUAAGGACAUUUCCGAUCCUUUGUCUUGUCUAGAAAAGAGCUCAAAUCAUAGCGUGAGAACAUUCUAUUGGCCUUGACCUAGCCUUUGGCUGAAAGGUGAUUUAAAGUUCUAUCCGACAAUAAGCAAUGUGACCCAUUUUCUCAAAUGGUGGAGUGUGUCCCAAUGUCCCAAACAGUCUUUAUUCUCACUAAUUUUGCUGAAUCUCCUCUGUGAGGAUUAUCCUCUCUUAUGAUUGGUCAAGCAUACUUCAGACUUACUUCCUACCAUUCUGCUACCUAGCUACAUCCAAUCACUAUGUAGCUAACACAUGACGGACAGGUUGUCACUUUGACUUACUACUGCCCACACUGUACCCCUUUUUCUCCCCCUUUCACAUGAGAAAUGCGGUCUGCAAUUGCUGUGACAUCGCAUCUGGUUUCCUAUUCACUACCUGUGUCCAGCGGGAGGCAAAUCAACGGUUCAGGCUAAACUAUACAAAUUAAAUUAAGCUGAUACAAAAAAAUCAAGAUAUUGUACAUACAGUUUCAACUGGUAUGAAUAAUUAAUGCUAUAAUAUUUUACAGAAUUUAAGGACACACCUUUUCACCUAAUUCAUAAACUCAACAAGAGUAGAAGUAGAUCUCUAAUAAUGUCCUCUGGAAGCUUUGCUGUAAGGCUCGCCAUUAACGAGAAAAAUCCUGUUUCCCCAUUUUCUUUCAUUCAGCCUCCUCCCUCUCCUUGGUGGGGCAGAAUCACUCCCCCCUUGCUUUGCCUCCCUUCAUAAUCAUAACAGUUUAUCUUAUAGAUAUGCAAGCAAAAGAUAUAUAUAUAUUAUAUGGUCAAGUUGUAAAAAGGGACAAAUAGGUGUCCCUUGGAUAGUUGGGUCUCGAGGAGUGGAAGUGCAGAAUCACUUCCCCCUGGCUGUGGCUCCCUUCGUUUUUCUGCAAAUAAUAAAAUUGUGGCACAAUUCAUGUACUUCCACCUCUUGGGUGCGGAAUCACUCCCCCCCCCCCCCCUGGAAUUGGCUCUUCUGGG